AUGCCACAGCAGCUGCAAGGAGGCUUCCUUCUCCAGAUGAUAGCCCCAAAUAUCACGCAACAGCGUCUCUGUUCAAGUGAAAGUUCAACAAUUCUAGUUUGGAAUUAUCCGCUGGUGAUGAAAUUCUCAGAUUCAAAGGUCAGGCUGCCUGCGGAUAUAGCCCCUUGCCUCGGCUGCCUUAUUGCCAGUUACAUUAAACACAGUCUAUGACAAGAGUUUAUUGAUACUCUACGGCAGUCAACAUCCGCUGAUGAUGGUGAACAUCAUCCUACACAAUAACCCUUCUCUCCCUGGUCUCUCUCACACCAGCCAUGAAGGGUUUCGAAGGUAAGUGCAGGUGAAUUUGUUUAUUUUUCUUUAUAUUUUGUAUUUUCUUUAUUGCUUUGUAUUAUAUUAUGGUAUUGUAAUCAUUUUUAUAUGGAUAUUUUGGGGUUGUGGAACGAAUCAUCUGAGUUUCCAUUAUUUCUUGCGGGUAAACUUGCUUUGAUACACAAUUGCUUUGGAUUACAAGCAUGUUUCCAGAACGAAUUAUGCUCACAAACCGAGGCUUUACUGUAUAUUCAUCUAUUGAAAAAAAAAAAAACAAGAAUGGAAAAGACAGAAUUUUAGAAUUCUUUGCCCUAUAUCAAGUCUCAUGGCUUGGUCAAAAUAAGCUUGGUGCUUUUUAUUUGCUUGUCGAGUCUGGAUCAAGGUCUUGAUUCCCAGAUUCUUGUCAACAGGGAGGAAACCAACGUAGCUUUGAAUGAAAAGUGACCUUAGGAAGACACUGUGGCCACUCUCCCUCCAGAGGC
rnacentral:lncRNA from 1 species